GGUCACCGGCCUCCGGCGCGAAGCCGGUGAACCAUGAUGGCAACAGUGACGGCGUCGUGGCUCGAAGUCGAAAUAGAGACGGCGGGGCUUUAUCUGCCAUUCCGGCCGCAGUGUUGCGGAAUUUAUCAGAUAAGUUGUAUGAGAAGAGGAACAAUGUUGCGCUUGAGGUUGAAGGAAUUGUGAAGAAUUUGACCGCGGCUGGAGAUCAUGAUAAGAUUACUGCUGUGAUUAAAUUGUUGACUCAUGAGUAUACAUACUCGCCUCAGGCGAAUCACCGCAAGGGAGGGUUGAUUGGCUUGGCUGCAGCUACUGUUGGAUUGAGUUCUGAAGCUGUGCAACAUCUCGAGGCGUACUUUUAGCACGUGGUGAAGAAUACUGGAGCGCUUAUACUUCUUGACAAGGGACACCAGAUGGGGCACAUUACUAAAGUAGAGAUGUCUUUUAAGGUACACAAGCUUAAACAUGGGCUUCCUUUAGUUUGUAGUUAGGUUGGUGUUUAUUUUUUAAUUCUAAUUGUGAGUGCAGUUUCUAGGGUCAAAUUUCUCUACUUGUAAAACUUUAACAAAGCUAUCAUACGGUCCCUAGACUUUCGUCAUCACACGUUUUAAAUAUGCUUGAUCUACCGCGCAACGCGCGGUUGGGGAACAACUAGUU